GUCAGGAUGGCCGAGCGGUCCAAGGUCGCGCAGUCUCCACUGCAGGCGUGGGUUCAAAUCCCACUUCUGACA
rnacentral:tRNA from 1 species